rnacentral:rRNA from 1 species
CUCCUACGGGAGGCAGCAGUCGGGAAUAUUGCGCAAUGGAGGAAACUCUGACGCAGUGACGCCGCGUAUAGGAAGAAGGUUUUCGGAUUGUAAACUAUUGUCGUUAGGGAAGAUAAAAGACAGUACCUAAGGAGGAAGCUCCGGCUAACUACGUGCCAGCAGCCGCGGUAAUACGUAGGGAGCAAGCGUUAUCCGGAUUUAUUGGGUGUAAAGGGUGCGUAGACGGGUUAGCAAGUUAGUUGUGAAAGCCCUCGGCUUAACUGAGGAACUGCAACUAAAACUGUUAAUCUUGAGUGUUGGAGAGGAAAGUGGAAUUCCUAGUGUAGCGGUGAAAUGCGUAGAUAUUAGGAGGAACACCGGUGGCGAAGGCGACUUUCUGGACAAUAACUGACGUUGAGGCACGAAAGUGUGGGGAGCAAACAGGAUUAGAUACCCUGGUAGUCCACACCGUAAACGAUGGAUACUAGGUGUAGGGAAUUAUUUAAUUUUCUGUGCCGUCGCAAACGCAAUAAGUAUCCCACCUGGGGAGUACGGCCGCAAGGUUGAAACUCAAAGGAAUUGACGGGGGCCCGCACAAGCAGUGGAGUAUGUGGUUUAAUUCGACGCAACGCGAAGAACCUUACCAGGGCUUGACAUAUAGAUGAAUAAUUAAGAGAUUAAUUAGUCCUUCGGGACAUCUAUACAGGUGGUGCAUGGUUGUCGUCAGCUCGUGUCGUGAGAUGUUAGGUUAAGUCCUGCAACGAGCGCAACCCCUAUUUCUAGUUGCUAGCAUGUAAAGAUGAGAACUCUAGAAAGACUGCCGGUGAUAAAUCGGAGGAAGGUGGGGAUGACGUCAAAUCAUCAUGCCCUUUAUGUCCUGGGCUACACACGUACUACAAUGGCUGUAACAGAGAGAAGCGAAACCGCGAGGUCAAGCAAAACUUAAAAAAGCAGUCUCAGUUCGGAUUGAAGGCUGAAAUUCGCCUUCAUGAAGCCGGAAUUGCUAGUAAUGGCAGGUCAGCAUACUGCCGUGAAUACGUUCCCGGGCCUUGUACACACCGC